AUUGAACGCUGGCGGCAGGCCUAACACAUGCAAGUCGAACGAGUGGCGGACGGGUGAGUAAUGUCUGGGAAACUGCCUGAUGGAGGGGGAUAACUACUGGAAACGGUAGCUAAUACCGCAUACCAUCAGAUGUGCCCAGAUGGGAUUAGCUAGUAGGUGGGGUAACGGCUAACCUAGGCGACGAUCCCUAGCUGGUCUGAGAGGAUGACCAGCCACACGGGGACUUGGAAACGGUCCAGACUCCUACGGGGGGCAGCAGUGGGGAAUAUUGCACAAUGGGCGCAAGCCUGAUGCAGCCAUGCCGCGUGUAUGGAGAAGGCCUUCGGGUUGGAAAGUACUUUCAGCGGGGAGGCGUUACCCGCAGAAGAAGCACCGGGUAACUCCGUGCCAGCAGCCGCGGUAAUAC
rnacentral:rRNA from 1 species